rnacentral:piRNA from 1 species
UGCAUAUUUCAUUGCUAGGCA